rnacentral:rRNA from 1 species
AAUGAACGCUGGCGGCGUGCCUAAUACAUGCAAGUCGAGCGAACGGACGAGAAGCUUGCUUCUCUGAUGUUAGCGGCGGACGGGUGAGUAACACGUGGAUAACCUACCUAUAAGACUGGGAUAACUUCGGGAAACCGGAGCUAAUACCGGAUAAUAUUUUGAACCGCAUGGUUCAAAAGUGAAAGACGGUCUUGCUGUCACUUAUAGAUGGAUCCGCGCUGCAUUAGCUAGUUGGUAAGGUAACGGCUUACCAAGGCAACGAUGCAUAGCCGACCUGAGAGGGUGAUCGGCCACACUGGAACUGAGACACGGUCCAGACUCCUACGGGAGGCAGCAGUAGGGAAUCUUCCGCAAUGGGCGAAAGCCUGACGGAGCAACGCCGCGUGAGUGAUGAAGGUCUUCGGAUCGUAAAACUCUGUUAUUAGGGAAGAACAUAUGUGUAAGUAACUGUGCACAUCUUGACGGUACCUAAUCAGAAAGCCACGGCUAACUACGU